AAUCAGUUCCACCACCACCCCCGCCGCCGCCUCCACCAGUUACUUCAUCCUCUCGCACCCGUGUGUCAAAAAUCGUAUCUCAAAAAGUCACACCAUCACUAGAAUCGCGUGCAUCAAGAACCAACACCGCUCAAGUGGCAGCGUUCACAUCCCAUCAAGCUCCCAAAAUGGUUAAGACAGGAAGCUCCAGCAGAGUGGAAGAGAAUGACGAAAGCGGCAAUGCAUCACCCUUGAUUCCAAUCCCGCCUCCUCCGCCACCGCCUUUCAAAAUGACAUCAUGGAAGUUUGUGCGCGAUGGCGACUAUGUUAGAGUGGCAAGCCUUAACAGUUCGCGUAGUGGGUCACCGGAUUCGGACAGUGAAGACCCAUCAGAUAAGGACUCGAGACCAAUGGCUAGAAAGGAUGGCGGUGGCGAUUCAACGUUGGCAAUUUUCUGUCCAAGUCCUGACGUGAACACAAAAGCUGAGAACUUCAUCGAAAGGUUCAGAGCUGGUUUGAAGCUGGAGAAGAUUAAUUCUGUGAAGGGAAGGUCAAAUCUUGGGCCAAGCCCUGAUACAGUUGAAGGAGAACGCCCAAGA
rnacentral:misc_RNA from 1 species